rnacentral:lncRNA from 1 species
GUGGCUCCCCACACGUAAGCAGCAGCUCCCCCCACACACGGCCCUCCCCACACACACACACCCGGCGGCUCCCCCCACCACACGGUGACUCCCCCUCACACAGCAGCUCCCCCCACACACGGCCCUCCCCCCACACACACACACCCGGCGGCUCCCCCCACCACACGGUGACUCCCCCUCACACAGCAGCUCCCCCCACACACGGCCCUCCCCCCACACACACCUGGCGGCUCCCCCCACCACACGGUGACUCCCCCUCACACAGCAGCUCCCCCCACACACGGCCCUCCCCACACACACACACCCGGCGGCUCCCCCCACCACACGGUGACUCCCCCUCACACAGCAGCUCCCCCCACACACGGCCCUCCCCACACACACACACCCGGCGGCUCCCCCCACCACACGGUGACUCCCCCUCACACAGCAGCUCCCCCCACACACGGCCCUCCCCACACACACACACCUGGCGGCUCCCCCCACCACACGGUGACUCCCCCUCACACAGCAGCUCCCCCCACACACGGCCCUCCCCACACACACACACCCGGCGGCUCCCCCCACCACACGGUGACUCCCCCUCACACAGCAGCUCCCCCCACACACGGCCCUCCCCCCACACACACACCCGGCGGCUCCCCCCACCACACGGUGACUCCCCCUCACACAGCAGCUCCCCCCACACACGGCCCUCCCCCCACACACACACCCGGCGGCUCCCCCACACAGAGCUGGGAGGCUCCAGUACUCUCGGAGCUUGGCUGGGGCUCCUGGGGAGGGCCGUGGCUCCUCCUCACCCGCUGGGGAGCCAGGAGUUCCGUGAGUGGUUGAAGCCCUGCUGGGAGGGUUGGGCGUUUCCAGCCAUUCUCACACGGCUUCUCAGCCGGGGUCUCCCACCCCGGCCCUGGCCCUGGGCCUGCCCUCACUGCCUCCUCCCCAUCCCCUACCCCUAGAGGCCUCCUGCCCUGGUCACCUACGCGUCACCUAAGCCCCGAGGCCAGGCGGCUUCUUGUCUACUAAAGACUUCCGGAGAGAGGCAUUCACCCUGUGGUCAGAGCUGGGGUUUCCAUGGAGGAGCACCACAGCCAUAAAGAAAGUUAUGGAGGCUGUGAAGUGCAAGGUCAAGAGGCUGCAUCUGGUGAAGACCUUCUUGCUGGUAGGGUCUCUCUACCUGGUCCUGAGGCAGUCCAGGGCAUCACAUGGCUGGUGAGCCCCAGAGCGGAGGACCCUGCCGAGCUGUUUCCAGACUCCUGAUCCACAGAAACCGUGAGAGGAUAACAUUGUUCUGCUUGAAGCCACUACACCUGCCGUCACUUGUCUCGCAUCAUUAGGGAACCAACGUGCUCUGGAAGACAGCAACUCUCAGGGUCCAUUCCGCUGACACCAGCGCCUCAGAUGACACAGGACGUGGCAUGGUGGCUAUUGACUCAUCAAGGGAACAGCAAUGGUAACAACAAAACCUGGUUGUUCAGAAGUCACACACUCAAGGCCCUACGGGGCCAAGAGGGGUCCAGGAGCAGCCCAGUGAGCGGGGCAGGGGAGGGGUGCAGUCCACCCAGGACCCGUGCUGCCCACAGGCUGCUGCUGUGCUCGGAGAGGGCCUGCCACAUGUGUCCGCAGAGAGAAUCCGGGAAUGCAAAUUUCUAAGCGAAUUUCUCCAUACUUCAAUGUUUGACAAUCAGUAAUUUUUCUUUGUAAUUGAUUUUUUAAAUGUGAAACUCUUUUCAGGCAAACAAAACACACUUGCAGGCUGCCAUUACACAAUUUUGUUUUAAUCAUUUUAAGGUCUUCAUUGUCUUUUACACAAAAGCUGGGAAUAUUCUCCCUCUUUCCAGAAUUCAACUGGUUUAGUGACUAGGAAGAUAUUUUGUAAUACAUUUUUUUAAAAAAGAAAACCAUGAAGGAAUAUUUCAAAUAAGAAGCUGACUAGCUUAAAUUAAUAGCUGUUAAGUAUUAAAUAUGAUGUGCUUUCUCUUAAACUAGGCCACUCUGCACCUUGCAUUCCUAUCCUUUUUUGGGCUUCAGAUCAGAAAUCGCAACUUUUGCGUGGAGAUCCUGGGCCUCCACACUGCUGGCCUCCCAUCGUCCCAAGAAUGACUCCCUGGAAAGAGCCUGUUCAGACCCUUUGUGACUGGACUCUACUGUAAGAGGAGAAUCAAAUGCUUGCAAGAAAACUGUAAAGCAGAGUUUCCUAAAAUACAUUUCAUAAGCGUGAGUGCCAGGAGUGCCUUAAAAAUGUGACUCUAUUGUCAAAUAAGUUGGGCAAUUUACUGAAGUAUACAUGAAUAUGUUAAAACCUCCAAGGAGUCCUGAAUUUAAAACAAACCUACACACAAAAACAAAGGUAUUUUUUAACCUAUCUGUUUGUUUGUUUGUUUUUGUUUGUUCAUUUGUUUUGAGACAGACUCUGGCUCUGUCACUCAGGCUGGAGUGCAGUGGCGCAAACUCGGCUUAUUGCAACCUCCGCCUCCCAGGCUCAAGCAAUCCUCUCACCUCACCCUCCUGAGUAGCCCGCCACCAUGCCCAGCUAAUUUUUUGUAGUUUUGGUAGAGACAGCGUUUCACCAUAUUGCCCAGGCUGAUCUUGAACUCCUGACCUCAAGUCAUCCUCCUGCCUCAACCUCCCAAAAUGCUAGGAUUACAGGUGUGAGCCACCAGGCCCAGCCUAAAUUAUCUUUAACCCACUGUUUUCCUCAAAUUAUUUUAACAGAUAGCUCUUUUUAAAAAUAAAUAAAUAAAUAAACACUUUUACUAUCCCAAGUACUAAUAGGAAAUACUUCGAAAAAUGUGACCCAGGACCCCGCAGUGAGCUUCUCACACACCUGACUUCACCUCCAGUGGAAGGAAAUCUGCGGCCUGCUGAAAUAAGAGAUGAAGGAACUAAAAGAAAAUCCCCAACAUUUUUACUUUCAAAAACCCUAAUAAAUGGUACAAAUAGAAACAAAUAGCAUGAGAGACUUAAAUCUGCUAUAUUGAUGGUUACAUUUAAUUAGUGGUCUAGAGACUCCUAUUAGAAGGCAAAACUUGUCAGAAUGGAUAAAGCACUAGGGCCCAACUCUACAGUAUGCGCAAGAGAUGAACUUCAUACACACAGGUAGAAAUAGGUUAGAAGAGAAAAGAGGGAAAAAGACGCUCCAUGCAAACAGUAAUCAUAGGAAAGCUGGGUGGUACCAAGUAUUCUAAGAACAGAUGUGCCUGAUGAUAGAGCUUCAAAUAUGUGAAAAAAAAACUGACACCUGAAAGACGAAGUAAGUCCACAAUUACAGUUAUACCUUUCCGCGUUCCCCUGUCAGUAACUGCUCGACAGAAAGUCAGUAAGAGCACAGAAGGCUUGAAAAACACUAAAACCCGGCUCGAUCCACUUAACAUUGCUUAAGCAUUCCAUCCCACACGUGCAGACUAUAAUUAUGUUCUGAUAGAACGCUGAUCAAAAUAGACCACAUUCUAAGCCAUGAAACAAGACUCAAUAAAGUUAAAAGAACUGAAAUCAUGUAUAAUACAUUUUCUGGGCUGGGCGCGGUGGCUCAUGCCUGCAAUCCCAGCACUU